rnacentral:rRNA from 1 species
AUUCCCGUACUUCUUAUAACUGCGAUGGAGAGACGGAGAAGGCUAUGCCUACCGGGCGUUGGUUGUCCCGGGGAAAGGCUGUAGGCUGAGGUGUUAGGCAAAUCCGGCACCUUAAGGCUGAGAGUCGAGACCACUGGUCCUUUGUGACCGGGAAGUGGUUGAUGCCAUGCUUCCAGGAAAAUCUUCUAAGCUUCAGGUUAUAAGGAACCGUACCCCAAACCGACACAGGUGGUUGGGAUGAGUAUUCUAAGGCGCUUGAGAGAACUCGGGUGAAGGAACUAGGCAAAGUGGUACCGUAACUUCGGGAGAAGGUACGCCGCUGAAGGUGAUGAGACUUGCUCUCUGAGCUAUCGGCGGUCGCAGUGAAAAGGCCCCUGCAACUGUUUAUUAAAAACACAGCACUCUGCAAACGCGUAAGCGGACGUAUAGGGUGUGACGCCUGCCCGGUGCCGGAAGGUUAAUUGAUGGGGUUAGCUUCGGCGAAGCUCUUGAUCGAAGCCCCGGUAAACGGCGGCCGUAACUAUAACGGUCCUAAGGUAGCGAAAUUCCUUGUCGGGUAAGUUCCGACCUGCACGAAUGGCGUAAUGAUGGGGGCGCUGUCUCCACCCGAGACUCAGUGAAAUCGAAAUCGCAGUGAAGAUGCUGUGUACCCGCGGCUAGACGGAAAGACCCCGUGAACCUUUACUAUAGCUUCACAGUGGACUUUGAACCUGUUUGUGUAGGAUAGCUGGGAGACUUUGAAGCAGUGACGCUAGUUACUGUGGAGUCGUCCUUGAAAUACCAGCCUGGCAUGUUUGAGGUUCUAACCUAGGUCCCUUAUCGGGAUCGGGGACAUUGUGUGGUGGGUAGUUUGACUGGGGCGGUCUCCUCCCAAAGAGUAACGGAGGAGCACAAAGGUACCCUCAGCACGGUCGGACAUCGUGCAACGAGCGUAAAGGUAGAAGGGUGCUUGACUGCGAGACCUACAAGUCGAGCAGGUGCGAAAGCAGGUCUUAGUGAUCCGGUGGUUCUGUAUGGAAGGGCCAUCGCUCAACGGAUAAAAGGUACUCCGGGGAUAACAGGCUGAUACCGCCCAAGAGUUCAUAUCGACGGCGGUGUUUGGCACCUCGAUGUCGGCUCAUCUCAUCCUGGGGCUGAAGCCGGUCCCAAGGGUAUGGCUGUUCGCCAUUUAAAGAGGUACGCGAGCUGGGUUUAGAACGUCGUGAGACAGUUCGGUCCCUAUCUGCCGUGGGCGUUGGAGAUUUGAGAGGAGCUGCUCCUAGUACGAGAGGACCGGAGUGGACGAACCUCUGGUGUUCCGGUUGUCACGCCAGUGGCAUUGCCGGGUAGCUACGUUCGGACGGGAUAACCGCUGAAAGCAUCUAAGCGGGAAGCCUCCCUCAAGAUGAGAUCUCCCUGGGAACUUGAUUCCCCUGAAGGGCCGUUGAAGACCACAACGUUGAUAGGCUGGGUGUGGAAGCGUUGUAAGGCGUGAAGCUAACCAGUACUAAUUGCCCGUGAGGCUUGACUAU